rnacentral:tRNA from 2 species
GCAGGUGCGCAGGUUGCGGUUACUUCCGCCUUGAAAGCGGGUGACGCGGGUUCGAAUCCCGCCGCCGGCA